UGCGCCGAAAAUGUAUGGGACUAAGAAUUACACCGAAGACGCGGUAGGGAGUCUCCUUAGGGAGACUCUUUAGGUAGGAGAGCGUUGUAUGGACAUUGAAGGUAUACCGUAAGGAGUGCUGGAGACCAUACAAGUGAGGAUGCCGGCAUGAGUAGCGAUAAAAGGGGUGAGAUACCCCUUCACCGUAAGCCUAAGGGUUCCCUGGGAAGGUUAAUCCGCCAGGGGUUAGUCGGUCCCUAAUGUGAGGACGAAAGUCG
rnacentral:rRNA from 13 species